UCAACAGCCUUAGAGACUGAAUUAUUCUGUUUAUCUAAAGAGCAGGUAGCAGCAGUGCACAUGCUGCUUCAUCCCAUUAAAGGGACCAUUUCUAGGGAUGAGAAGGGAGUUCAUUCUCCAUUAUCAUUCUACCCAGGGCCUCG
rnacentral:sRNA from 1 species